ensembl:lncRNA novel transcript
CAGGACGAACCCCUCCCUCUUCUUCAGCCUACUUGAUGUGAAGGUGAUGAAGACCUUUGUGAUGAUCCACUUCCACUUAAAAAACAGUUAAGCCUGAGUUUGGUCUUCUGUUACUUGGAACUGAAAUAAUGUGCAUUGACACACCUAACAAGUCAAAGUAUUGUCUUUUGCUGGUCUGCUCUGGUCCUGGAAACAUCCACUGAUAGAAUCACUGGUCUGGGACAAAUUGUGGUACCCAAAGACCUCAGGAAGCACUUAGAAGCAUUACUCCUGAAGUCCCAUUCGUCCCAAGAAGAGUUGCUGGCUGGAGGAGACAAUAUGUAAACAUGUCAUGACAAGAUGGUGUGCCAUCAAGUCUGAGAUAAUCUGUUAUGGCAACGUAAGAAGCUAAUACAAGAUGCAGGAGUGAAGCAGCGAGGUCUGGAAAAAAGCUAUUGCAAAAAUACAGUCUCAGCAAGGGGAUAGAAGGAGCCCUGCAUUCUCUCCUGACACGCUUGACAAAAACAAACCCAACUAGAGGUCGCCAGCAACGGAGGGGC